rnacentral:rRNA from 1 species
AUAGGAAGAAAUAAGCCCUAUGUUAUAUCUUUUAAGACCUAGUAAUAGGUAUGCUUUAGGAGGGGCUUGCGCCAUAUUAGUUAGUUGGUAGGGUAAUGGCCUACCAAGACGAUGAUGUGUAGCUGGACUGAGAGGUUGAACAGCCACAUUGGGACUGAGACACGGCCCAAACUCCUACGGGAGGCAGCAGUAGGGAAUUUUCGGCAAUGGAGGAAACUCUGACCGAGCAACGCCGGCGUGAAUGACGAAGUACUUCGGUAUGUAAAGUUCUUUUAUCAAGGAAGAAAAGCAAAUGGCGAACCAUUUGUUUGCCGGUACUUGAUGAAUAAGCCCCGGCUAAUUAUGUGCCAGCAGCCGCGGUAAGACAUAAGGGGCAAGUGUUAUCCGGAAUUAUUGGGCGUAAAGGGUGCGUAGGCGGUCUAGUAAGUCAGUGGUGUAAUGGCAACGCUCAACGUUGUCCGGCUAUUGAAACUGCUAAACUUGAGUUAGAUAGAGGCGAGUGGAAUUCCAUGUGUAGCGGUAAAAUGCGUAAAUAUAUGGAGGAACACCAGAGGCGUAGGCGGCUCGCUGGGUCUUAACUGACGCUGAGGCACGAAAGCGUGGGGAGCAAACAGGAUUAGAUACCCUGGUAGUCCACGCCGUAAACGAUGAGUACUAAGUGUCGGGUUAAACCGGUACUGAAGUUAACACAUUAAGUACUCCGCCUGAGUAGUACGUACGCAAGUAUGAAACUUAAAGGAAUUGACGGGACUCCGCACAAGCGGUGGAUCAUGUUGUUUAAUUCGAAGAUACCCGAAAAACCUUACCAGGUCUUGACAUGUUUUUGCGAAACGGUAGUAAUAUCGUGGAGGUUAUCAGAAACACAGGUGGUGCAUGGUUGUCGUCAGCUCGUGUCGUGAGAUGUUAGGUUAAGUCCUAAAACGAGGCGAAACCCUUAUCGUUAGUUGCCAGCACGUUAUGGUGGGGACUUUAACGAGACUGCCAGUGAUAAAUUGGAGGAAGGUGAGGAUCACGUCAAAUCAGCAUGCCCCUUAUGACCUGGGCUACAAACGUGAUACAAUGGCUGUUACAAAGGGUAGCUGAAACGCAAGUUCUUGGCCAAUCCCCAAAAACAGUCUCAGUCCGGAUUGAAGUCUGCAACUCGACUUCAUGAAGUUGGAAUCGCUAGUAAUCGCGAAUCAGCAUGUCGCGGUGAAUACGUUCUC